UACGUAACAUGAUGGAAGAGUUGGGCC
rnacentral:piRNA from 1 species